rnacentral:rRNA from 1 species
GACGAACGCUGGCGGCGUGCUUAACACAUGCAAGUCGAACGGAAAGGCCCUGCUUUUGCGGGGGGCUCGAGUGGCGAACGUGUGAGUAACACGUGAGUAACCUGCCCUUGACUUUGGGAUAACUUGAGAAAACUGGUGAUAAUACCGGAUACGAGCUCCUGCAGCAUGGUGGGGGUUGGACAGUUUGGGCGGAUGGGGAUGGACUUCGGGGGGAUCAGCUUGUUGGUGGGGUGGCUGCCUACCCAGGCGUUGACGGGUAGCCGGCCUGAGAGAGUGAUCGGCCACAUGGGAAGUGGGCCACGGACCAGAGUACUAAGGGAGGGAGCAGUGGGCAAUGGUAGACAAUAGGCGGAAGCAUGAUACAGUGAGGCCGAGUGUGUGACGACGGCCUUGCGGUUGUGAAGCAGUUUUUGUGGGUGGAAAACGCAUUCGGCUAAUACCAAGCUUUAGUGACGGUAACGGGAGAAUAAGCACCGGCUAACUACGUG